GCUCAGAUGAAACGCUGGCGGCAUGCCUUAUACAUGCAAGUCGAACGGCAGCACGGGAGCAAUCCUGGUGGCGAGUGGCGAACGGGUGAGUAAUGUAUCGGAACGUACCUUUCAGUGGGGGAUAACGUAGCGAAAGUUACGCUAAUACCGCAUAUUCUGUGAGCAGGAAAGCAGGGGAUCUUAGGACCUUGCGCUGAUUGAGCGGCCGAUAUCAGAUUAGCUAGUUGGUGAGGUAAAGGCUCACCAAGGCGACGAUCUGUAGCGGGUCUGAGAGGAUGAUCCGCCACACUGGAACUGAGACACGGUCCAGACUCCUACGGGAGGCAGCAGUGGGGAAUUUUGGACAAUGGGCGCAAGCCUGAUCCAGCCAUGCCGCGUGAGUGAAGAAGGCCUUCGGGUUGUAAAGCUCUUUCGGCCGGGAAGAAAUCGCAUGGGUUAAUACCCUGUGCGGAUGACGGUACCGGCAUAAGAAGCACCGGCUAACUACGUGCCAGCAGCCGCGGUAAUACGUAGGGUGCGAGCGUUAAUCGGAAUUACUGGGCGUAAAGCGUGCGCAGGCGGUUUGUUAAGAUAGGCGUGAAAUCCCCGGGCUCAACCUGGGAACUGCGCUUAUGACUGGCAAGCUAGAGUACGGCAGAGGGGGGUGGAAUUCCACGUGUAGCAGUGAAAUGCGUAGAGAUGUGGAGGAACACCAAUGGCGAAGGCAGCCCCCUGGGUCGAUACUGACGCUCAUGCACGAAAGCGUGGGUAGCAAACAGGAUUAGAUACCCUGGUAGUCCACGCCCUAAACGAUGUCAACUAGGUGUUGGGAGGGUAAAACCUUUUAGUACCGGAGCUAACGCGUGAAGUUGACCGCCUGGGGAG
rnacentral:rRNA from 1 species